rnacentral:tRNA from 1 species
GCCCUGGUGGUCUAGUGGUUAAGAUUCUGCACUCCCAUUGCCACAGCCCAGGUUCAUUUCCUGGUCAGGGAG